GACGAAUUGGUACAGUUGGGACUGCAACUGAUUUGUAAUCAGUAGGUAACCAGUUCGAGUCCGGUCUUCGGCACCA
rnacentral:tRNA from 1 species